GAUGAACGCUGGCGGCGUGCUUAACACAUGCAAGUCGAACGGGAAUUAUUUUAUUGAAACUUCGGUCGAUUUAAUUUAAUUCUAGUGGCGGACGGGUGAGUAACGCGUGGGUAACCUGCCUUAUACAGGGGGAUAACAGUCAGAAAUGGCUGCUAAUACCGCAUAAGCGCACAGAGCUGCAUGGCUCAGUGUGAAAAACUCCGGUGGUAUAAGAUGGACCCGCGUUGGAUUAGCUGGUUGGUGGGGUAACGGCCCACCAAGGCGACGAUCCAUAGCCGGCCUGAGAGGGUGAACGGCCACAUUGGGACUGAGACACGGCCCAGACUCCUACGGGAGGCAGCAGUGGGGAAUAUUGCACAAUGGGGGAAACCCUGAUGCAGCGACGCCGCGUGAAGGAAGAAGUAUCUCGGGAUGUAAACUUCUAUCAGCAGGGAAGAUAGUGACGGUACCUGACGAAGAAGCCCCGGCUAACUACGUG
rnacentral:rRNA from 1 species